ensembl:lncRNA
AAAGAAUCAACAAGAUAACUUCAAAUGGUGAUAAGUGAUAUGAAAUAAUGAAGAAGAGCGAGGUUGGCCCAAGUGAGCAGAGAAGGCCACCCGGGAGUGCUCUGUCUGUGGCUUGAAGGAUGAAGAAGAGACAGCCACAGCUGGAGCUGAAGGGAGAGCAAUCCAGGCAGAGGGAACAGCAAGUGGACAGCAAGUGGAAAGGCCCAUAGAUGAGACAUGAUUGGAUUUACAAAUGACAGGAAGGAGGCGAAUGUGGCUGGAUUGAGCAAGUGGUAACAGAAAAGGCUGGGAAGGAACUGCAGUGGGGUUGGGGCAGAUCACAUAGAGCGCUGUUGGUGCUGGGGAAAUGGGUGCUGAUUUAUGGUUUUCAAAGAUCACUCUGGCUGCUCCAUGGAGAAUGUAUUUUAAGGAGGAAAGUGUAGGAGCGGGGAGACCAUUUAGGAGACUGUCGCUACUGGGUGAUGAUGGUGCAUUGGACCAGGGAGAAGAGGCUGAUGGAUUGGAAUAUGUUGAAGAACCAAGAGGAGUUCCUGGGGUAUAGUGUGGAGAGUGGAGCAACACAGAGGAUCCAGGAUGAUUCCUGGUCCUCUUCUUGGGAGCCUUCUCUACCCGGGUAGGAUUAAGCACCAUAAAGCCACGCUCAUCCUCUGCUCUGCUGCUGCUGCUAAGUCGCUUCAGUCGAGUCCGACUCUGUGCAACCCCAUAGAUGGCAGCCCACCAGGCUCCUCCAUCCCUGGGAUCCUCCAGGCAAGAACACUGGAAAAAAUGAAGAUAAGAAGCAAAAAUCGGAAGGUAUAAUUUCCACAAGGAUGUUUGUGGACACUGGAAUUUUGGGGAGUGCUUUGUAUUUGUGAUGUGUAUGUGAUGAUCACAUAGGUGGCUGAAGAUUCAUUGAUAUCCAGAAGAUAAACCACAAGAAAAGCAACCAGGAACAACUCCACGCUGGCUGACUUUUCCCAGAUCCUUGUGUUUUACCUGGAAAUUUGUGCUUUGACUCAGAUCCUAGCUCUGAGUGUGAAAUCUCACAACAAAAGGAAUUAAUCAUUAAAGUUCUAUGGGGAAUUCUGGUCUUUUAAAAAUCACUUGCAUACCAUUUCUCUGGGUGACAUUUUCUGAUCGACAAAGCUUGAGUCAUGGGUCUGUUAACUUUUUACAUAUUGUGGCUACAAUGAUAUAAUUCAGGAUCUUCUUAAGGAUGUGACAAAUUUUUUGCUAUCUAGUGACUAAGGACUUUCUAUUUUCAAUCUGAUGAGGUGUCAUUUGGAGCGCUAUGAACUUUACAUACCCAUUUAUACAUCCCCUGAUGAUUAAAAUGGAGCUAGAUAACUUAAUUAACAAAAAGAAAAAAUAAAAUUAUUAUGGUGUUUAUGCAACAUUGAAAAAGCUACUUCUUGAUGCUGAAAGGCACAAAUGUAAUCAUCAGGCAUUUGGGCAAUGUCUAAAAAUUAAUUUCAUUGUUGUCUUCAUCUCCCAAUCAAAAUGGUAUUACGUUUCCUUUCUCCUUCUCUGCCCAUUCAGCAUUUAGAAGAGAAAGGAAGUAGUUUUCAGCUUUUAGCUGCCAUUUUCCAAGUGCAUGUGGUCCUGAGCAUGCUCACCUAAAAUCUGUUUCUCUCUACCCCUCACUUCCACUCCAUAUUUUUUUUCUCUUUAUGUACUUUAAAAAGUUUACCAUAACUUUUUUACCAUAAACAAAAACAUUUAAGAAGUUUACCAUAACUUUUUUACCAUAAACAUAACUGAAUCUUCGUAAAUCUGGAGGAUAAGACACAAGAAAAAUAUAGAGGAAUUAAUCAAAACACAAGGAUGAUUUUUUUUCCCUCUUCUGAAUGUCAGCUUUGAAAAACUCUUACUGCUAAAGGCCGGAAUAAAUGUUAAUGAUUCAAAACAAAGAAGAAGGUUGUAUUUGUAGCUGUACUGUGAAAAAACACUUGUUAGCUUGAGUGAUAUCCUUGAAUUGUUACAGUUUUCUUCUCUAAAAAUGCAAGUAUCUUUUCUUUUUCUGUUAAUUUUUAAAAAAUAAAUUUAUCUCAUUUA